GAUGAACGCUAGCGGGAGGCUUAAUACAUGCAAGUCGAGCGGCAAGUUUUGAUAGCAAUAUUGGAACCUAGAGCGGCGCACGGGUGAGUAACGCGUACAUGACCUGCCCUAUACUGGGGGAUAGUCUUGGGAAACUGAGAAUAAUCCCGCAUGUGAUUAGAAUGCUGCAUGGCAAAUUAAUUAAAGCUGAGGCGGUAUAGGAUGGGUGUGCGUCUGAUUAGCUAGUUGGUAGUGUAACGGACUACCAAGGCGAUGAUCAGUAGGGGGCGUGAGAGCGUGACCCCCCACACGGGUACUGAGACACGGACCCGACUCCUACGGGAGGCAGCAGUAAGGAAUAUUGGUCAAUGAGGGAACUCUGAACCAGCCAUCCCGCGUGAAGGAUGAAGGGGCUCUGCCUUGUAAACUUCUUUUGCAUGGGACGAAAAACUUAAUUUAUUAAGGACUGACGGUACCAUGAGAAUAAGCAC
rnacentral:rRNA from 1 species